rnacentral:rRNA from 1 species
AUGGCCUCGAGCUCCAGAGCCCUGUGGGCGAGCCUCUUGGACAAACAGAAGAAGAAGAUUGCCGGCAUUACGGCCGGCUGGCAAGCUAGAAGAUGGACGAGCUCUCCGGAUGCCAGCGCAGUAGACCUGCCAAUGAAAGAGGUGGCAAGGCGGCAGCGACAAGCCGGUGCCACGUCCUCGCAGACCGAUGUCGGUGCCAGUGUGGGCGAGGCGCAUGCACACUGCAGACAUGGUGUUGGAAGAGUGGAAGCCACGUUCCGGCAGACGCAGGCGGGCCAGAGGUUAAACCUCCGCCUCCUCGACAAGCACCGGCGUGCGGAGGAGCAACUCGCCGGCACGGGCAUUGUGGAGGACGUGGAUGUGGACGAGCAAGAGGCGCUGCUCCUGUCCUACUGCGCCGGCUGCGACAUCCUUCGUGAGCGAUGGCGGCACCGUGUCUGA